AGCAGUGAGAUGGAGGGAAGGAGUGCAGGGCUUCAACUUGCCUCUCCCUGUCUCUCUGGCUGCUGGGUCGAGCUGUUUGCUCAGCCAGCCCUGGGAUGGUGCAAACCAGCCCGGCUGCCAAUUGACGUCAGAGGAGCGCUGGUGGUUUGCGCGAGCUCAGGGACUGCUUCUGCUCAAGAGCGUGAGGAUUUGUGGCCCUGAAGCUGUCCAGAGAUGAGGAGAAGAGCUCCAGCUGGAGUGGAUGGCAUUCCCAAAAUUGAGAGAGGAGGGGCUGCUUGCACUGAACCCACAGACCCUGUGCCUUUUGCAGGGCUGGAGGAGGAUGUGCCAGGAAAAGUUCCAUGUCCCAGGAAAAUGGAGAAGCAAGAGAAUCACUGAAAUCUGGGUGGAGUAAGUGGGGAAAGGUUUUUUAAAUAUAAAGUGGAAAUGCAACUCCUGUUAAUUCAGGAGUGCAGAAC